rnacentral:rRNA from 2 species
UUCCGGUUGAUCCUGCCGGACCUGACUGCUAUCGGAUUGAUACUAAGCCAUGCGAGUCAUUGUAGCAAUACAAGGCAUACGGCUCAGUAACGCGUAGUCAACCUACCCUAUGGACGGAAAUAACCUCGGGAAACUGAGAAUAAUAUCCGAUAGAACAUUAUGCCUGGAAUGGUUUAUGUUCCAAAUGAUUUAUCGCCGUAGGAUGGGACUGCGGCCUAUCAGUUUGUUGGUGAGGUAAUGGCCCACCAAGACUAUUACAGGUACGGGCUCUGAGAGGAGUAGCCCGGAGAUGGGUACUGAGACACGGACCCAGGCCCUAUGGGGCGCAGCAGGCGAGAAAACUUUGCAAUGUGCGAAAGCACGACAAGGUUAAUCCGAGUGAUUUCUGCUAAAGAAAUCUUUUGUUAGUCCUAGAAACACUAACGAAUAAGGGGUGGGCAAGUUCUGGUGUCAGCCGCCGCGGUAAAACCAGCACCUCAAGUGGUCAGGAUGAUUAUUGGGCCUAAAGCAUCCGUAGCCGGCUCUGUAAGUCCUCGGUUAAAUCUGUACGCUUAACGUACAGGCUGCCGGGAAUACUGCAUAGCUAGGGAGUGGGAGAGGUAGACGGUACUCGGUAGGAAGGGGUAAAAUCCUUUGAUCUAUUGAUGACCACCUGUGGCGAAGGCGGUCUACCAGAACACGUCCGACGGUGAGGGAUGAAAGCUGGGGGAGCAAACCGGAUUAGAUACCCGGGUAGUCCCAGCUGUAAACUAUGCAAACUCAGUGAUGCAUUGGCUUGUGGCCAAUGCAGUGCUGCAGGGGAGCCGUUAAGUUUGCCGCCUGGGAAGUACGUACGCAAGUAUGAAACUUAAAGGAAUUGGCGGGGGAGCACCACAA